AGUGAACGCUGGCGGUAGGCCUAACACAUGCAAGUCGAACGGCAGCACAGUAAGAGCUUGCUCUUACGGGUGGCGAGUGGCGGACGGGUGAGGAAUACAUCGGAAUCUACUUUUUCGUGGGGGAUAACGUAGGGAAACUUACGCUAAUACCGCAUACGACCUACGGGUGAAAGCAGGGGAUCUUCGGACCUUGCGCGAUUGAAUGAGCCGAUGUCGGAUUAGCUAGUUGGCGGGGUAAAGGCCCACCAAGGCGACGAUCCGUAGCUGGCCUGAGAGGAUGAUCGGCCACACUGGAACUGAGACACGGUCCAGACUCCUACGGGAGGCAGCAGUGGGGAAUAUUGGACAAUGGGCGCAAGCCUGAUCCAGCCAUACCGCGUGGGUGAAGAAGGCCUUCGGGUUGUAAAGCCCUUUUGUUGGGAAAGAAAAGCAGCAGGUUAAUACCCCGCUGUUCUGACGGUACCCAAAGAAUAAGCACCGGCUAACUUCGUG
rnacentral:rRNA from 1 species